UACGUAGGGUGCAAGCGUUGUCCGGAAUUAUUGGGCGUAAAGAGCUCGUAGGCGGUCUGUCACGUCUGCUGUGAAAACUCGGGGCUUAACCCCGGGCCUGCAGUGGGUACGGGCAGACUAGAGUGCGGUAGGGGAGACUGGAAUUCCUGGUGUAGCGGUGAAAUGCGCAGAUAUCAGGAGGAACACCGGUGGCGAAGGCGGCGUUCUGGACUGCAUCUGACACUGAAAGACGAAAGCCAGGGGAGCAAACGGG
rnacentral:rRNA from 1 species